UAAUAGGGCCCAAAUACCCUAAAGCUACCAGAUCAUUCUAAUCUUUGAAAUUAAACAGGGUCAUCUCUGUUUAGUACUUAGAUGGGAGACCACCAAGAAACACUGAGUGUUGUAGGCU
rnacentral:rRNA from 1 species